CUUCCUGUUGCUCAGGGUGAAGAGUCUUUGCAGGUUGGUGGUCAACAGGGUCAGAGAUGCCACAGGUCUGGCCAGUGUCCAGAGAAGCCACAUCUCACAUUCAUUCUUCUGCCAGGUUGCAGAGGCAGUGUUAACAUCCCAACUGAAAGCACAUCAAGAGAAACCAAAUUUUAUUAUCAAGACCCCAAAGGGUACCAGGGAUCUUAGUCCUCAGCAUAUGGUUGUGAGGGAGAAAAUUCUUGAUUUGGUUAUCAGCUGCUUUAAACGUCAUGGAGCAAAGGGGAUGGACACCCCAGCAUUUGAGCUGAAGGAAACCCUGACUGAGAAGUAUGGAGAGGACUCUGGGCUCAUGUAUGAUCUGAAGGAUCAAGGUGGAGAGCUGUUGUCCCUCCGCUAUGACCUUACUGUUCCCUUUGCUCGUUAUCUGGCCAUGAAUAAGGUGAAGAAGAUGAAACGUUAUCAUGUUGGAAAGGUGUGGCGGCGAGAGAGCCCAACCAUAGUCCAAGGCCGUUAUAGGGAGUUCUGCCAGUGUGAUUUUGACAUUGCUGGUCAGUUUGACCCUAUGAUCCCCGAUGCAGAGUGUUUGAAGAUCAUGUGUGAAAUCCUAAGUGGAUUGCAGUUGGGAGACUUUCUCAUUAAGGUAAAUGACCGGCGGAUUGUGGAUGGGAUGUUUGCUGUCUGUGGUGUUCCUGAA
rnacentral:sRNA from 1 species